GCUACAGAAAAGGAAUGAAAAACACUCUUCACCACAAAAUUCCCACAGAGUUAAAAAAAGAAAAAAAAGUACUAAACCAUAACUACCAUUGUGUGACCUGCUGACCUGGUAACUGUGGCGUGUUGACCUGGUAACUGUGGAGUGUUGACCUGGUAACUGUGGCGUGUGUAGUGAGUGGUGACUAGUAGCGAUGCACAAGUCCAGCCUGCCCAACGCUCCCAACAUGGCAACACUCACAGCCUUCAGGAUCACGGCGCCCAUCCUCUCCCUGCCGCUCCUCUCCAACCCAGGUGAGUACUCGGCCUGGUGACCCUUCGUCUGUGUCUGCGUCUGUGUGGUGAGAGGGAGGGAGAGAGAAGGAAGCAGUGUGGUGAGACUAAGAGGGAGGGAGAGAGGA